AGAGUUUGAUCCUGGCUCAGAGCGAACGCUGGCGGCAGGCCUAACACAUGCAAGUCGAGCGCCGUAGCAAUACGGAGCGGCAGACGGGAGAGUAACACGUGGGAACGUACCCUUUGGUUCGGAACAACCCAGGGAAACUUGGGCUAAUACCGGAUAAGCCCUCACGGGGAAAGAUUUAUCGCCGAAGGAUCGGCCCGCGUCUGAUUAGCUAGUUGGUGGGGUAAUGGCCCACCAAGGCGACGAUCAGUAGCUGGUCUGAGAGGAUGAUCAGCCUCACUGGGACUGAGACACGGCCCAGACUCCUACGGGAGGCAGCAGUGGGGAAUAUUGGACAAUGGGCGCAAGCCUGAUCCAGCCAUGCCGCGUGGGUGAUGAAGGCCCUAGGGUUGUAAAGCCCUUUCGGCGGGGAAGAUAAUGACGGUACCCGCAGAAGAAGCCCCGGCUAACUUCGUGCCAGCAGCCGCGGUAAUACGAAGGGGGCUAGCGUUGCUCGGAAUCACUGGGCGUAAAGCGCACGUAGGCGGAUCGCUAAGUCAGGGGUGAAAUCCUGGAGCUCAACUCCAGAACUGCCUUUGAUACUGGCAAUCUCGAGUCCGGGAGAGGUGAGUGGAACUGCGAGUGUAGAGGUGAAAUUCGUAGAUAUUGGGAAGAACACCGGUGGCGAAGGCGGCUCUCUGGACCGAGACUGACGCUGAGGCGCGAAAGCGUGGGGAGCAAACAGGAUUAGAUACCCUAGUAGUCC
rnacentral:rRNA from 1 species